AGUAACGGCGAGUGAAGCGGCAACAGCUCAAAUUUGAAAUCUGGCCCUCGGGUCCGAAUUGUAAUUUGUAGAGGAUGCUUUUGGUGAGGUACCUUCCGAGUUCCCUGGAACGGGACGCCAUAGAGGGUGAGAGCCCCGUCUGGUUG
rnacentral:rRNA from 1 species